rnacentral:rRNA from 1 species
AUUGAACGCUGGCGGCAGGCCUAACACAUGCAAGUCGAACGGUAACAGGAAGCAGCUUGCUGCUUUGCUGACGAGUGGCGGACGGGUGAGUAAUGUCUGGGAAACUGCCCGAUGGAGGGGGAUAACUACUGGAAACGGUAGCUAAUACCGCAUAACGUCGCAAGACCAAAGAGGGGGACCUUAGGGCCUCUUGCCAUCGGAUGUGCCCAGAUGGGAUUAGCUAGUAGGUGGGGUAACGGCUCACCUAGGCGACGAUCCCUAGCUGGUCUGAGAGGAUGACCAGCCACAAUGGAACUGAGACACGGUCCAGACUCCUACGGGAGGCAGCAGUGGGGAAUAUUGCACAAUGGGCGCAAGCCUGAUGCAGCCAUGCCGCGUGUAUGAAGAAGGCCUUCGGGUUGUAAAGUACUUUCAGCGGGGAGGAAGGGAGUAAAGUUAAUACCUUUGCUCAUUGACGUUACCCGCAGAAGAAGCACCGGCUAACUCCGUG